AGCGCCGUGAGCACCGAUUGCCUGGGCUACAGCGCACUGAGCCGGCUCCGCGAGGAGUUACACACGGAGCUGCGUCCUGUGCCAUUCCGAGAGCGCAACCGCGUGGAUUUCACAGCCUCGAAUACUCUGUGAUCAGUCAGAGUGAAAACCAAACUUUAGAGGAAUUCAUGUUGCAAGCUACUAAACUGUCUACAAGGACAAAAUAUUUUCCAGUUCUUACAGCAUCCUGAAGAGAUGGUAAAGCAGCAACAACAGCCUGUCCAAGGAGAUUUGCCUCAAGGCGGGACUGAAAUUCCCUGGAGGGCUAAAAUGCUACUUCUCCUU